rnacentral:lncRNA from 1 species
UCUUACCCAUUCCUUGACAAAAGCUUCUUCCAUGUCUACUCUCCUCCAAACUCUCUCCACUAGGCAACAAUGGAGGCUAAAAACACAGAUUUUUCUGAAGUGGUUCUCUACUAUUGUCGAUGAUGAACCGAUUGUGGUUGUCCAUUAACUGAAGCUCGGUAUGCCAUCUCCAUCCUUUUUCUGUUCUUAUCUCUCUCAAAUUCUCCGCACACUUUUUUUAUUUCACUGUUAUGUUUUUCUUAGCCGCCCUUCCUGUAAUAUUUUCUUUGCUCAUGUGGCUUCAUUUCUGAUUUUACUUCAAUAUUUCACGCUUUUGUUUCCAGUUUGUCUCGCUUCUGCGGUAUUUUUGACUUUUGGUAAGUCUCCCCUUCUUUCUUUAGUUGAUAUACUAGCUUAUCGGUAGUGAAUUUGAGUGGGUAUGUUUUAAUUUUUAAAUACAUGUUUGAGUGGGUUUCUCAUUUUCACAUGUUUGGAAAUACUUAUGUAUGUGCAUGUUUGGGUUACAUUAUUAUUUUUUAUUUUGGUUGAGUCAGAUGGUAUUCUACGAGUGUAUAGUUCUAUUGAAGAAGGUUUCUACUAGGUACUCUUGCUCUCUUUGGUCUGUUUGGUUCCAGUGAUUUCCAUGAGCUUGUAAAUUUAUGAUUUCAUUCUUCUCAGAGAUUACUGAUUUAGUUGUUUUCAUUUAGCUAUUGAAGUUCUCUAUGUGCUUCUGCUUUGCUCUCUUAUUACACCUUUUUUGGCUUUUAAUUUCGCUCUGUAUGAUUUUGAACAUUUGAUGGACACAGAUCUGAUUUUUUUUAUUUUCAUUCAUAUUUUCGUGCCUGAGCCGAGGAUAUGUUGGAAACAGCCUCUCUAUCCUCACAAGGUAGGGGUAAGGUCUGCGUACACACUAUCCUCCCCAAAUCUCACGGUGUGGGAUAAUACUGGGUAUGUUGUUGUUGUUGUUGUUGUCAUAUUUUCGUGUUGUACUCUUAGCAUGUAUGUGAUUAUUUGAUCACACGUGUCUAUGAUAUUUUUUUACAUGGAUACGCACAUUAUUACAGUAUAGGGAACACUAAGUGCCAUCAAGACAAAAAUAGUAAUGGGGAGGAGAAGAACUUUAAUGUAGCCAAAAUUAUUUGACAGUAUGCCUGAAUAUGUAAGUCUCAAUCCUUCAACUAUAAAUCCUGAAUUCUAAAACUGUGAAAUGUGGUGAUUUCCUUUUGUUUGUUUUAUGUUGGUAUGCCAAUUGUUGAUUUAUAACAAACUUUAGUUUAUUCUUUGUCUCUGUUAUACAAAUAUAGUUUUCCCUCUUUACUGUCGUUAUACAAAUGUAGUUUCCCCUCUUUACUGUCUUCAAUUGGAUAAUGCUGCGAGCUUUGCUGAGAUUUUUACUUGGAUUUGGAAUUUUCAAGUUGAAACUUAAGAUCUUUAUUUAACUUUUGCGGUCCAACUUUCAUAGGAAUGCUUUAUUGAUCUGACAAAGAUAGUGAUUCUCCUUUAAUUUUCUUCCUAUAUUCUUCCGAGGACUCAGGUUCAUGCUUUUUUUAGUCUCUCUUUUUUUCAGGUGGGUGUUAGAGUUCACAAAGCUCUAUUUUAAAAUAGGUUCCUGUCAAUUGGUUAAUGUUUGAAUCUACUGGGCUAUCUUGGAAUUUAUAGUAGUCAUAUCUAACAAUUUUAGGUCAGUUUAGAAGUUCAAUUGAAAUUGAGAAAAAUGGUGAUUAUCUGAGGCAAGAAAUUAAUCUUCCUGUUAUGGUAAAAAAUAUUUGCACUCUAUCACCUAUUUUAUCUAAUGCAACAGCUAAGUCCAGCCACCUCUUAUCGAUCUUGUUUUAAUGUUGCUCUGCUAUGUUCGCCUCAAUAAAGUAAGGAUUCAUGUCACAUAAUUCUAGGAAUGAUAAGUAGGCGAAUCCCUCAAAGAACUUCCAUGUGUUAUAAAAUUGCAAACUAUAAAUUUAUCUUCGGAUAUGUCAUUUGGUUGUCUGCCAUUUUAUUUUGAUUACACCAAAUAUGUAUUUCAAUGACUAAGGUAAGUUUUAAUUAAGACGGGCAUUUGAACAAAGCAAUUUCCUGCAGCAUUAAUUGUGUGGAACAAAAGCAAGGCUCUCUUAACUACUAAAGAAAUAAUGUCUUAUUUUUUGGAACUAUAAGUUAUCAAUUUAAGAUUUUCUUUCACUUUAGAUCUCAACAAUGCUAUUUUAGCGUCGAUUGAAGAGGAAAUGACUUAUUCUGCUCAAAUGAUCUAUUUUCUCCUAAGUAAUGAGAUUACCUAACGUUAACCUUUCAAUUUAGAUGCCUAAAAUUUAUAUCUUAGUCUCAUUUGAAGAGGAAGACUUAUUGUACUAGAAUAGAAGGACAUCAGUUUCUUCCCAAAAUUUUACAUAUUCCUAAUUGCUCAAAAUUAUGAUUUAUCCUAUCUUGAAAAGGACAUAAUUGGAAGAAAUGGUACCUUCUUUUCAGUGCAAAAUUUGAUUCUACGUGCAUACAUCUUGUUCUAGGCUUCACUGUGGUCAUUUUUGGUACCUAUAGUUUAUGGGAUAUCAAUACUACUGGGAUUCAUUAACCCAUCAUCAUCAUGUUUUGCUGAUAGUGUUAGCUUUCUCAUAGGACAUUUAAACAGAAGAAACUCACUUUUGUGUGGAGAAUGCAGCUGAGAAAGACUCAACUUUAGUCAUUUAUAUGGACAUGUCAACUCUUACUUUUCGUGCCUCAGAGUUGAUCCAUCAUGAGUUGCUGCAUAAUACAUCAGCUAUUGUCAUCCAAUGAAUUGACCAAACAUCAACAAAUACACAGCACGUAAAUAGAACAACUUCUCAUUCUCACAUUUGUUGAUUAGAUGUCUACACUGCUGCCUUUAUGUGCUACAUUUAGGACCACAAUAAUUUAUUUUAACAAUUGCAAAGAUGAGAAUGAUAUAUGCAAUUCUUCCGGCAAAUCUAUGUGCUGGCAUUUAUAGCUUUAUUAUUGCUGCAUUUAGGUGUAUCUUGUACCAUCUAGAUGCUUUAGGAAUUUUUGGCCUUAAUUUGUGGAAUAAAACUUAAGAUAUCUGAUAGUUUCUUUUCUGAAAAUUAUAAAUUAUUUCAUUACUCGGCACCUCUUCAAUUUUGUUGUUGGUGUCCGAGUCAGGCUUGUAUCUCUUCAUUUGGUAACUUUAUCUAAGCUAGCGUUUGGCCAUAAAUUCCCAAAUUUAUUCUGAAAAAUCUGAUUUGGGUGAAGUUUGGUUUGAAGAUGAAAAUGUGUUUGGACAUCUGUUUUGGGUGAAGUUUGGUUUGGAAAAACAUGAAACAUGACUUAUACCCACAAGUUCUAAAAACUAUCACAAAUACCCAACAGUACCAUUAUCAAUAACAUUCAUUAUAUUAUCGCAAACCAUAGUCCUGAACAUAAAUAAAUUUGAUACAAAAUUAUCAUUUUUAUAUGAACUACAUGAUACACUAUCAGAUGACCGAGAAGAUGAAGCAACAUCGUUACAAAAUAAUAAAUGGUGGGCUCUUUUAUAAAAUACAAAAGUUUAGGAUAAUUUUUAAAAAAUAUAAUAGUGAUAUUUUGGCCCAAAACCAGCUAUUUUGGGACUUGGGAUUUGGCCAAAAUAUAGGCGAAAUCUAUGGCCAAACAUGUGUUUGCCAGAUAAAACCCAAGUUUAUUUUGGCAAAAUCUAUGGUCAAACGGGUCCUAAGUAUCGUUGGUGCUCCUAAUUUGGAUUUCUCUGUUCCAGUAAUUAAUUAUGAUUUUAUUUCAUUUAUUCCUGAUGUGCUUAUCAAGGUUAUAUAUUGUUGGAAGCUUAUAUGUUCCUUGUUCUUUUGUAUUCUCAUGAGUAGCAUUGAAAUGCGAUAUAUAGAAACAGACGGCUCCGGUAGUAAAUUAUUACUCAAGAAGUAAACAUAAAGAGGAUCAUGCCAAAAAGAAUCUUGCUUUGGCAGUUCUAUUUAGAUGGAUAAAUUGCCUAGAUUGCAUCUUAUUUCAUAAGAAAUUAGAAUCUAUUGCAAUUGUAGGCAUCUAUCUACCCUCUCUGAAGAGGUAAAAAAUAGUAGUAGUUCCCCUUCAUUUGUUUAUUGUACUAAUAAAAAUAUAAAAGGAAAAUAAAAAAUUCAAUUUAUUAAUGUGCUAUGGAUAUUGGUGAUAUCUCAUAUUUCAAAUUUAGACAUGUAAAUGAGCAACAUAAUAGAUAGUCUGCAGCUUUUAUCGCAUUGCAGUAAGAUUAGUGGUUAAUUUUUCAACUAUGGCUUACUGAUCUAUAGUAGCUAUCAGCAUUGUUACUCGAAUUUAAUUUGGACUUGUAUAAUUUCUGUAUAAGCUACCUUGGUGAAUUCUAAUGUGAUUUUCUUUGUUAGGGCAGAACUGAAGAAUCAGAGAACCGAAGAGAUGAUGCUUUAAGGAAAUUGCAUGAAAGAGACUGGACAACAUCUAUUGCAAACAAUUGCACAUGUCUAUUUUGACUGAAACUUCUUUCGUUGACGAUGUUUUAUAAUGUAACUUCUUUUGAUUCUUGGGCACAAAUACGAGGGAGCCAAC